rnacentral:rRNA from 1 species
GACAGAGGGUGCAAACGUUGUUCGGAAUUACUGGGCAUAAAGCGCGUGUAGGCUGCUUCGCAAGUCGGGUGUGAAAGCCCUGGGCUCAACCUAGGAAGUGCACUCGAAACUGCGAAGCUUGAGUCCUGGAGAGGAAGGCGGAAUUCUCGGUGUAGAGGUGAAAUUCGUAGAUAUCGAGAGGAACACCGGUGGCGAAGGCGGCCUUCUGGACAGUGACUGACGCUGAGACGCGAAAGCGUGGGGAGCAAACAGG